rnacentral:ncRNA from 1 species
UUUAUGGCCAUAGGCGUAGGCGUCCUUUUAGGGCUUAAUAGGGAAGACGGUGAGAAUCCGUCACGGUCCCGCCGCUGUAUCCGGGGAGCAUGCCCGCAGGGAAUUUAUUCCAGUCACUGCCUUUUUUGGGGUGGGAAGACGUGGAGCAUGGGAUGAUCCGGGAGUCAGAAGACCUGCCCGCCGUUUAGUCCGAGG